UACGGAGGGGGCUAGCGUUGUUCGGAAUUACUGGGCGUAAAGCGCACGUAGGCGGCUUUGUAAGUUAGAGGUGAAAGCCCGGGGCUCAACUCCGGAAUUGCCUUUAAGACUGCAUCGCUAGAAUUGUGGAGAGGUAAGUGGAAUUCCGAGUGUAGAGGUGAAAUUCGUAGAUAUUCGGAAGAACACCAGUGGCGAAGGCGACAUACUGGUCCGUUACUGACGCUGAGGCUCGAAAGCGUGGGGAGCAAACAGG
rnacentral:rRNA from 1 species